CUCCUCCUCGCUUCAGCAUCGUCGGCAUCGUGGUCUGCUGCGGAGGCUGCGCAAUUGAUUCUUGGAUUUGGGUGCCUGUGACAUCUGGGGAAUGGCCAACCGGAUCCAAGGAAGAUGAGAAAACGAGCGAAUUAUACGGGGUCUUCUCAAGCUCCCCGAGAAUAAAGAUGUAUCAAUUGCAACAGCCUGGGACCACAGUAUGUUUGCACCAGUUUCUGUACAUUCG